rnacentral:sRNA from 1 species
GGCCCCCUGCGCUCCCGAGCCGUGGCCUGCGGGCGAAGAGCCAGUGCGCUGCGACGCGUGCCCCGAGGGCGCGGCCCUGCCCGCCGCGCUGUCCUGCCUCUCCUGCCUCGCCUCCUUUUGCCCCGCGCACCUGGGCCCGCACGAGCGCAGCCCCGCGCUCCGCGGACACCGUCUGGUGCCGCCGCUGCGCCGGCUAGAGGAGAGCCUGUGCCCACGCCACCUGCGGCCGCUCGAGCGCUACUGCCGCGCGGAGCGCGUGUGUCUGUGCGAGGCCUGCGCCGCCCAGGAGCACCGCGGCCACGAGCUGGUGCCGCUGGAGCAGGAGCGCGCGCUUCAGGAGGCUGAGCAGCCCAAAGUCCUGAGCGCCGUGGAGGACCGCAUGGACGAGCUGGGUGCUGGCAUUGCACAGUCCAGGCGCACAGUGGCCCUCAUCAAGGUCAAACAUCCCUCCCCAGCCUCCAUCCCUGUCCUCCCCUGCAGCGGGCAUACUCCUGGCAGAGUAUGCUUUCAGCAUGGAACAAUCCACUCCAAACCAUGCCCAUACCCACUGAGCACAAGUGUCCCCUGACCUCGCCCAGAUCCAGGACAGGCUCAGGCUGGCCCCUCUGUCCUCUCAAGAGGGCCGGUGGGAAGCCAGGAUCAGGGAAGGAGGGGGCACAGUCCGGGACGGUUCUUUGCCCUCAUUGCCCCCUCUACUGUCGUCCUGUGCAGAGUGCAGCCGUGGCGGAGCGGGAGAGGGUGAGCCGGCUGUUUGCAGAGGCUGCGGCCGC